UCAUCAGAGUGUUCAAAUGUAUUGCUGGCAAAGAGGAAGAGGGGCCAAGCAUAUGUUAAAAGUGAAAACAACUGUCUUGUUGACUACUUCAGUGGAAAAUAGCUCAGUGGGCACUCUUACGUUUCACUGGACUAGACAAAAAAUGGUGCUAAUAUUUAUACAGUCUGAUUUUGUAGUUGGUUUGGGAUCAAAUUGCCAAUGCCCGACUCAUGGGUCCUUACCAUAGUCUUAUGAUCAGUUAAGUAGUAUUUAAAAAGUGGUCCUAAACGUGUAACCAUGUAUAAAAUUUGAAAUGGAUUUUGUACAAUAGGCUGAAUAGGGAGCUGUCCACUCUGUUUACUUAGUACCAAAUUCCGUGAGAGGAGCCACGUCCAGGGUUGAGGCCCAGGUUUCCUCCCAGCCUGCUGGUGUGAGAGGAGAAAGCUGCUCCUUUAUCAUUUAUUUCCAUUUUGAAAGUCAGGACACCUGAGUGAAGACACUAGAGGCCUCUUUUUGGAUUUCUUUAUAAUUAGCAGAACUUUUUCAGAGCUGUCUGCCUGUGUUGUUGUUGUAUGUGUAUUUUGAGCACUGCACUCACUUUAACAUUCUGAAGGCACUAAGGCCGGGCACCUACAGUCACAGAGCUCAGGCGGUGGGCAUUUGGGGCUGUGUUUUCUAAAAACUGUGUGUUGCUUUUAGCUUGUAUUUAAUAUUGUAGUUACUUGGAAAAAUGUGAAUAAAGUUCAUUAAUACUAC
rnacentral:lncRNA from 1 species